GGGUGAGUAACACGUGGAUAACCUACCUAUAAGACUGGGAUAACUUCGGAAAACCGGAGCUAAUACCGGAUAAUAUUUUGAACCGCAUGGUUCAAAAGUGAAAGACGGUCUUGCUGUCACUUAUAGAUGGAUCCGCGCUGCAUUAGCUAGUUGGUAAGGUAACGGCUUACCAAGGCAACGAUGCAUAGCCGACCUGAGAGGGUGAUCGGCCACACUGGAACUGAGACACGGUCCAG
rnacentral:rRNA from 1 species